rnacentral:lncRNA from 1 species
UUAACCAUCAAAGAGUCUUCAAUCAUGACUUCGGAAGAGAUUUCUUUCAACUCGUCCUUAGCCUUGUUGAUCUCCAUGCGUAAAGACUCUUUCUCAGCUACAGCUCGAAGAUAUUGAGUACGCUUGGCCUUUAGUUCAGCAUUCUUGGCCAGCAUAGAAAGGACCUCGGAGUGAAUGACUUUCAACGUCGCUUUAAAGUCGGCAGAAAGAUUGAGCGACGGAAGCGUCAGUGCUUGCUCUAACUUCGCACUCAAGUGCUCAAGUUCAUCCUUGUGUCUGGCAGCACUAGCCCUUCCAAUGUCCAUAUCCAUGAAGGAUACAUACUCAAAUACCAAUUCCUUCAAGAACUUCAAAUCAUCCUCUGAAGAAGCGGCAGGACAACCAGAUGGAGCAGGGCGAGGC